rnacentral:rRNA from 1 species
AAUCAACGCUGGCGGCGUGCCUCAGACAUGCAAGUCGAACGCGAAAGUCCCCUUCGGGGGACAAGUAGAGUGGCGCACGGGUGAGUAACACGUAGGUAAUCUACCUUUGGAUGGGGAAUAACAACCGGAACGGUUGCUAAUACCGCAUAAUGCAGCGGCACCUAAUGGUGACAGUUGUUAAAGCGGGGGAUCGAAAGACCUCGCGUCUGAAGAGGAGCCUGCGGCGGAUUAGCUAGNGGUAAGGUAAUGGCUUACCAAGGCUACGAUCCGUAACCGGCCUGAGAGGGCGGUCGGUCACACUGACACUGACAUACGGGUCAGACUCCUACGGGAGGCAGCAGUCGGGAAUUUUGGGCAAUGGGCGAAAGCCUGACCCAGCAACGCCGCGUGAAGGAUG